GUGAUCGGCUCUGCCGAGGCCGUGCCCCGGCACCUAAGAAACGUCCGUGGGGACGUGUCUGUGGGCCUGACCAUCGGCAGGCCUGUGCUCCUGCUUUUGCUGCGGCCGCUUGCUGUAACGCAGUCUGCGUUGUUUGAAGGGUAGUCUAUUCUUCUCCCUCGAUAUUACUUCCUUAACAAAAAUCUCACACAGGCUCUGUAUGUUCAUUUUUAGAAUAGUCAGAAAUCCUGCAGAAAAAGCGAUGCCAUUUUUCACAACAUACGUGACCGACCGUCUUCUGUAGAAGUGAGCAAAGCAAACCUCUGGUGGCCCUUGAACGCGCAAGCUGAUGGUGGAGAGAGGUGGUUAGUGUUGCGGCCGCUGCUUCAGAGAGGGUCAGAUCUAUAAAGAGAUCUGGGCAAGGAAGUCAAAGACCCUGUGGAUAUACAGGAAUCUAUCCUUCGGACUCCAGUGUUGUGAGCAUUUGGAUGCAUUAAUGAGAGAACAUUGCAAGGGGGCAGAGGAAAGAAAAGGGAGAAAACAAAUAAGGCCACAGUGAAGUCGUUCUAAAAGGCAAACCAGGAAAAAAGCCCAACAAGACACCAGAAAUGAGGAAAGCAGGAGCCCUGAAUUCAUUCCUCUUCAGCAUAAAUAGUUCAUCUGAGUUGUCUUAAAAGUGCCCUUAAAAGCUUCUAAAGUCAGACAAAGACCUGCCCUGGCAGAAUAUUUCCUUCUAUCUGCUGGGACCGUCGACAGGAUGUACACUGUAUGAUGCAUGUGGUCCCUGUGCUGGUGAAUUCCUUUGUAUGACCUGGGGCUAUGCAGAAUACCUGGUGACUUGUUGCAGGCAUUUUGUGUUGCUUAACAGAUACCCCCCAGCCCACAGGGACUGGGGACAUUGUGCACUGAGGUGCCCACCCCAGCAUGGGAGUGGAGGGGGAAUGUCACAGAGCAGAACCUGAGCAAGAGCCAUGGUACCAUCCCCCAUAACCUGUGGGACAGGGGCUGUGGGUGCUGUCCCUGUUGUUUCUUUCGAGCAGAGCCCCCCCGUUUCUUAGGGGUGCAUGUACCUGUGUAAACCGCAGUUAUGAAAGUAAUGAAGUAGCGAGCUGCUCCUCGG